AUUGAACGCUGGCGGCACGCCUAACACAUGCAAGUCGAGCGGUAACAGGAUUAGUAGCAAUACUAGUUGCUGACGAGCGGCGGACGGGUGAGGAAGACGUAGGAACUUGCCUAAUAGAGGGGGAUAACCAAGGGAAACUUUGGCUAAUACCGCAUACAUUCGAGAGAAGAAAGGCGCUGAAAGGCGUCGCUAUUAGAGAGGCCUGCGUCCGAUUAGCUAGUUGGUGAGGUAAGAGCUCACCAAGGCGAUGAUCGGUAACUGGUCUGAGAGGACGGCCAGUCACACUGGGACUGAGACACGGCCCAGACUCCUACGGGAGGCAGCAGUGGGGAAUAUUGGACAAUGGGGGCAACCCUGAUCCAGCGAUGCCGCGUGGGUGAAGAAGGCCUUCGGGUUGUAAAGCCCUUUAGGCCGGGACGAAAGCAGAUGGAGGAAAUGCCAUUUGGUUGACGGUACCGGCAGAAUAAGCACCGGCAAACUCUGUGCCAGCCGCCGCCGUAA
rnacentral:rRNA from 1 species